AUGAGCCUCAUAAACUUCAUGGUAUAUUGUAAUACACGAAUGUUCUUCCUCAAUACCAUUGAUGCAUCCGGCCAGACUCAGAAUUCAGACUUUAUCUAUAGAGAGAUUGAGAAGGUUGUAGAAGAGAUAGGCCAUGAACAUAUUGUUCAAAUAGUAACCGAUAAUGGGUCCAACUAUAAGAAAGCUUGCAAAACCCUUAUAGAAGAACCAAAAUACUCUCAUAUUGUUUGGCAACCGUGUGCUGCCCACACCGUCAAUCUUAUGUUAAAAGAUAUAGCCAAAUUUCCCGAGGUUGAUGUGAUAGUCAAGAGUGCCAAGACAAUCUGUAGGUUCUUCCAUAAGCACAAUAACCUACAUGAUAACAUGAAGAAGAACAUAGGUGGUGAACUAAUUAGACCAAAUGUCACCCGUUUUGGGACUGUCUUCAUGUUCCUUGAGAGUUACCAUUUGAAGAAAGAUAAAUUUAGGGAGUGGAUGGUUUCAACUGAUUGGAAGGAGUGUCAGUGGAGGUAUGAGCCUGGAUAUGUGUUUGCUGAAGAAUGUUUGUCCAGUAAUGUUUGGUGGAACACACUAGAGUGGGUAUUGGGUUCGUUGAGGCCACUUUAUAAGGCCAUGAGGUAUGCUGAUACACAGAAACAAUGCACUCUUUCCGGAUUCAAGAAAAGUAUGAUGCUCGCUAUACAACAGAUGGAAGCACAUCUAGGCCCUACAUCAAGGUUGUACCUUAGUUUCAUGCGCAAGGUGGGCAAGAGGAUAGAGGCAAUGGAAGAAGAUACAUUUAUGGUUGCAGCUGUCGUCCUUGAUCCAUAUACACAUUACAAGCUCAACCUUUGCAACCAUACAGAUUAUGCUACCUCACUAACAGAUGCGAUAGCGAAGAUAUUAGAUCCAAAGAGUGCUCUUUCAGCCAUUGAUGAAGUAAGUAAGUUUAGGGAGUGCCAAGGGAGGUUUGGGACCAGAUUAGCAGAAGAAGCUGCGGCGAGAAUGGAGCCAACAUCCCAAUGGUGGUUUCAAUUUGGAGGGGAUGUUCCUGCAUUGCAGAAGUGUGCAAUGAGAAUUUGCUCACAAUGUGUCUCAUCGAGUGGGUGUGAGAGGAAUUGGAGCGCCUUUGCUUUGGUGCACACAAAGCAAAGAAAUCGUCUUUUAUAUGACAAGCUCCACAAGCUAGUUUCUGUCCGCUACAACCUAAAGAUACGUGCUGAAGAAGAUCAAGAGAAAGAUAUAGAUAAUGAAGUUGAUCCAAGUGCACUGCUGCUGGACACAACAAUGUUUGAUGAAGCAAAUCCAAUAAUGGAGUGGCUGAAUGAGGAUGAAGAGGAUCCAAUUGUGGAUGGAGCUGAUGCAGCCAGUGCUGUUUUUGAGAAAAUAAGGCGUCUCAACUCAAGCAGGAAGGAUUCUUAUGUUGGUACAAAAGGUAAUAAGAAGAAAAGAAAGAGGAAUCAUGAUGAGGAGAAUGAGUAUGUCGAAACUGAGAGUGAGGAUGACGAUGAAGAGAAUGAGUAUGUUGAUAAUGAGAGUGAGGAUGAUGAUGGGGUGAGUGAGGAUGAUGAGGAUGAUCAACAAGAUCAGCAAGAGACACAAAUGCAAGUGGAAGAAGAGACACACGUACAAGCUGAAAAGGAGACAGCAGCAAGUGUUGGCAAUUUGGAGGCUCGUAGAUCUGGACGACUAGUUAGGAAGAAGACCAAGGAAGUGAACAGCCUCUACUCGUAG
rnacentral:rRNA from 1 species